UACAGAGGGGGCGAGCGUUGUUCGGAAUUACUGGGCGUAAAGGGCGCGUAGGCGGCCAACUAAGUCAGACGUGAAAUCCCCGGGCUCAACCCGGGAACUGCGUCCGAUACUGGAAGGCUUGAAUCCGGGAGAGGGAUGUGGAAUUCCAGGUGUAGCGGUGAAAUGCGUAGAUAUCUGGAGGAACACCGGUGGCGAAGGCGACAUCCUGGACCGGUAUUGACGCUGAGGCGCGAAAAGCCAGGGGAGCAAAGCGGG
rnacentral:rRNA from 1 species